AGCAGCCGCGGUAAUUCCAGCUCCAAUAGCGUAUAUUAAAGUUGUUGCAGUUAAAAAGCUCGUAGUUGAAUUUCGGGAUCAAUACGUCGGUCUUGCUUCGGUACGUACUGGCGUCAUUGAUUUCUCCCUUCUGACGAACCAUGGUGUCAUUAAUUUGGUGUUAUGGGAAAUCAGGACUGUUACUUUGAAAAAUUAGAGUGUUUAAAGCAGGCUCACGCUUGAAUACAUUAGCAUGGAAUAAUGAAAUAGGACGUUCGAUCCUAUUUUGUUGGUUUUAGGAUCAACGUAAUGAUUAAUAGGGAUAGUUGGGGGCAUUAGUAUUCAAUUGUCAGAGGUGAAAUUCUUGGAUUUAUUGAAGACUAACUACUGCGAAAGCAUUUGCCAAGGAUGUUUUCAUUAAUCAAGAACGAAAGUUAGGGGAUCGAAGACGAUCAGAUACCGUCGUAGUCUUAACCAUAAACUAUGCCGACUAGGGAUCGGAUGAUGUUAAUUUUUUAAUGUACUCAUUCGGCGCCUUACG
rnacentral:rRNA from 1 species